CAAGGCCGAAACUNAGAAAGAUUGANNUCGNAUCGUAAAACUCUGUUGUUAGAGAAGAACAAGGACGUUAGUAACUGAACGUCCCCUGACGGUAUCUAACCAGAAAGCCACGGCUAACUACGUGCCAGCAGCCGCGGUAAUACNUAGGUGGCAAGCGUUGUCCGGAUUUAUUGGGCGUAAAGCGAGCGCAGGCGGUUUCUUAAGUCUGAUGUGAAAGCCCCCGGCUCAACCGGGGAGGGUCAUUGGAAACUGGGAGACUUGAGUGCNGAAGAGGAGAGUGGAAUUCCAUGUGUAGCGGUGAAAUGCGUAGAUAUAUGGAGGAACACCAGUGGCGAAGGCGGCUCUCUGGUCUGUAACUGACGCUGAGGCUCGAAAGCGUGGGGAGCAAACAGGAUUANAUACCCUGGUAGUCCACGCCGUAAACNAUGAGUGCUAAGUGUUGGAGGGUUUCCGCCCUUCAGUGCUGCAGCAAACGCAUUAAGCACUCCGCCUGGGGAGUACGACCGCAAGGUUGAAACUCAAAGGAAUUGACGGGGA
rnacentral:rRNA from 1 species